GACGCAGUAGGAUAGGCGAAGCGUGCGAUUGGAUUGCACGUCUAAGCAGUAAGGCUGAGUAUUAGGCAAAUCCGGUACUCGUUAAGGCUGAGCUGUGAUGGGGAGAAGACAUUGUGUCUUCGAGUCGUUGAUUUCACACUGCCGAGAAAAGCCUCUAGAUAGAAAAUAGGUGCCCGUACCGCAAACCGACACAGGUAGUCAAGAUGAGAAUUCUAAGGUGAGCGAGCGAACUCUCGUUAAGGAACUCGGCAAAAUGACCCCGUAACUUCGGGAGAAGGGGUGCUCUUUAGGGUUAACGCCCAGAAGAGCCGCAGUGAAUAGGCCCAAGCGACUGUUUAUCAAAAACACAGGUCUCUGCUAAACCGUAAGGUGAUGUAUAGGGGCUGACGCCUGCCCGGUGCUGGAAGGUUAAGAGGAGUGGUUAGCUUCUGCGAAGCUACGAAUCGAAGCCCCAGUAAACGGCGGCCGUAACUAUAACGGUCCUAAGGUAGCGAAAUUCCUUGUCGGGUAAGUUCCGACCCGCACGAAAGGCGUAACGAUUUGGGCACUGUCUCAACGAGAGACUCGGUGAAAUCAUAGUACCUGUGAAGAUGCAGGUUACCCGCGACAGGACGGAAAGACCCCGUGGAGCUUUACUGUAGCCUGAUAUUGAAAUUCGGCACAGCUUGUACAGGAUAGGUAGGAGCCUUUGAAACGUGAGCGCUAGCUUACGUGG
rnacentral:rRNA from 1 species